UACGUAGGGUGCAGGCGUUAAUCGGAAUUACUGGGCGUAAAGCGUGCGCAGGCGGUUUGCUAAGACAGGUGUGAAAGCCCCCGGCUCAACUGGGGAGGGUCACUCGAUACUGAUCGACUCGAAGGCAGGAGAGGGAAGUGGAAUUCCCGGUGUAGUGGUGAAAUGCGUAGAUAUCGGGAGGAACACCAGUGGCGAAGGCGACUUCCUGGCCUGUUCUUGACGCUGAGGCGCGAAAGCUAGGGGAGCAAACGGG
rnacentral:rRNA from 1 species